rnacentral:rRNA from 1 species
GUCCCUACGGGAGGCAGCAGUGAGGAAUAUUGGUCAAUGGGAGAGAUCCUGAACCAGCCAAGCCGCGUGAGGGAAGACGGCCCUAUGGGUUGUAAACCUCUUUUGUCGGAGAACAAAACCCGGGACGUGUCCCGGACUGCGUGUAUCCGAAGAAAAAGCAUCGGCUAACUCCGUGCCAGCAGCCGCGGCAAUACGGAGGAUGCGAGCGUUAUCCGGAUUUAUUGGGUUUAAAGGGUGCGUAGGCGGUCCGUUAAGUCAGCGGUAAAAUUCGUGGCUCAACCCUGUCCUGUCGUUGAAACUGGGGG